CCGNNAGCUCCGGCUCGACUCUCCCACCCAAUGUGUACCUGACCUCUGUUGCUUUGGCGGGCCGCGGUCCUCCGCACCGGCGCCCUUCGGGGGGCUGGCCAGCGCCCGCCAGAGGACCAUAAAACUCCAGUCAGUGAACUUCGCAGUCUGAAAAACAAGUUAAUAAACUAAAACUUUCAACAACGGAUCUCUUGGUUCUGGCAUCGAUGAAGAACGCAGCGAAAUGCGAUAAGUAAUGUGAAUUGCAGAAUUCAGUGAAUCAUCGAAUCUUUGAACGCACAUUGCGCCCCUUGGUAUUCCGAGGGGCAUGCCUGUUCGAGCGUCAUUUCAACCCUCAAGCUCUGCUUGGGAUUGGGCCCCGUCCUCCACGGACGCGCCUUAAAGACCUCGGCGGUGGCGUCUUGCCUCAAGCGUAGUAGAAAACACCUCGCUUUGGAGCGCACGGCGUCGCCCGCCGGACGAACCUUUGAAUUAUUUCUCAAGGUUGACCUCGGAUCAGGUAGGGAUACCCGCUGAACUUAAGCAUAUCAAUAAGCACCUCGGAUCAGUAGNA
rnacentral:misc_RNA from 1 species